UACGUAGGGGGCGAGCGUUGUCCGGAUUUACUGGGCGUAAAGGGCGCGCAGGCGGCUAUCCAAGUCAGGCGUGAAAGCCCCGGGCUUAACCUGGGAGGUGCGUCUGGGACUGGGUGGCUAGAGUUCGGGAGAGGAGAGUGGAAUUCCCAGUGUAGAGGUGAAAUUCGUAGAUAUUGGGAAGAACACCGGUGGCGAAGGCGGCUCUCUGGACCGAGACUGACGCUGAGGCGCGAAAGCGUGGGGAGCAAACAGG
rnacentral:rRNA from 1 species